AGACGUGAGAGUGACCUGGCUGCAACAUCUUCACCCCAUCAAUCACCACAGUUGAUUUGGCUGAUGUGGCUGGCUAGGCAGGUGUCCCCUUCCUCUCUCACUGCUCCAUGUGCAUCCCUCCCAAAUCUGCACACAUGGUCAAAGAGGACGAUCAUCCUCGCUGGAAAAGGGCCAUUCUUCAGUCAAGGGUAUACAAGUUGGUGAGUUCCUCUGUUAGAACCUCCAAACAAGUUCUCAAAAAUAAGACCCUCUCUUACAUUGCCUGGGAAAUUCUGCAAACAAACUCCUUGUUGAGUCUGAAGGCAGUCUGACCCCA
rnacentral:snRNA from 1 species